GAUGAACGCUGGCGGCAUGCCUAACACAUGCAAGUCGAACGCCGAAGGAAGAAGAUCGUUCUCUUCGGAUGAGUUGCGAACGGGCGAGUGACGCGUAGGUCACCAGCCUCGUAGUCGGGGGUAAUUAUUGGAAAAGAUAGCCAAUACUGCAUAACAGUAGCUGUUGCAUGAUACCUGCUUAAUAGGUGCAAUUGCACAACUACCAGACGGAUCUGCGGUGUAUUAGCUAGUUGGUGAGGUAACGGCUCACCAAGGCGACGAUACAUAGCCGAGCUGAGAGGGUGGUGAGCCACAAUGGGACUGAGACACCGGCCAGGCCCCUACGGGGAGGAGCAGGAGGGGAUCAUCGGCAAUGGGCGGAAAGCUUACCGCGGCACUCCGCGUUGGUGGAAAAGGUCUUCGGGUCUUAAAGGUCUGUUGGAGGGGAAAGAAGAGCAGCAGGGUAAAAAGCUGACGCUGUGACGGUAUCUUACGAAUAAGGAACGGCUAACUACGUG
rnacentral:rRNA from 1 species